GCGGCAAUCUUUUGUACAAAUGAAAUAUUGACUAGGAAUAUAGUCACCCCAGAUAUGAAAGUAAAAGUCUGUACAUUCACUGGCAUUUCUUUUUCCCAGCCCUAGUCAACAAAUCGGGAGAGCACA